UUCGCAAUGCCCGAAAGGGUGACGAAGCGACGCCGCGUGGGUGAGGAAGGCCUUCGGGUUGUAAAACCCUGUCAGGAGUUAAGAAAUGUAAGUUCGUUAAUACCGAAUUUACUGGACAAAGGCUCCAAAGGAAGCCACGGCUAACUCUGUGCCAGCAGCCGCGGUAAUACAGAGGUGGCGAGCGUUGUUCGGAAUUAUUGGGCGUAAAGAGCACGUAGGUGGGUUUGCAAGUCAGAUGUGAAAGCCUUCUGUUCAACGGAAGAAUUGCAUCUGAAACUACAAACCUUGAGUAUAGGAGGGGAGAAUGGAACUUCUGGUGGAGCGGUGAAAUGCGUAGAUAUCAGAAGGAACGCCGGCGGCGAAAGCGAUUCUCUGGCCUAUUACUGACACUCAGUGUGCGAAAGCUAGGGGAGCAAACGGGAUUAGAUACCCCGGUAGUCCUAGCCGUAAACGAUGGGCACUAAGUAGAGGGGUUUU
rnacentral:rRNA from 1 species